rnacentral:rRNA from 2 species
AGACCCGAAACCCGGUGAUCUAGCCAUGGGCAGGUUGAAGGUUGGGUAACACUAACUGGAGGACCGAACCGACUAAUGUUGAAAAAUUAGCGGAUGACCUGUGGCUGGGGGUGAAAGGCCAAUCAAACCGGGAGAUAGCUGGUUCUCCCCGAAAGCUAUUUAGGUAGCGCCUCGUGAAUUCAUCUCCGGGGGUAGAGCACUGUUUCGGCUAGGGGGCCAUCCCGGCUUACCAACCCGAUGCAAACUGCGAAUACCGGAGAAUGUUAUCACGGGAGACACACGGCGGGUGCUAACGUCCGUCGUGAAGAGGGAAACAACCCAGACCGCCAGCUAAGGUCCCAAAGUCAUGGUUAAGUGGGAAACGAUGUGGGAAGGCCCAGACAGCCAGGAUGUUGGCUUAGAAGCAGCCAUCAUUUAAAGAAAGCGUAAUAGCUCACUGGUCGAGUCGGCCUGCGCGGAAGAUGUAACGGGGCUAAACCAUGCACCGAAGCUGCGGCAGCGACACUCAGGUGUUGUUGGGUAGGGGAGCGUUCUGUAAGCCUGUGAAGGUGGCCUGUGAGGGUUGCUGGAGGUAUCAGAAGUGCGAAUGCUG